GAGGAGAAGAGGAAGAGAGGAGCGGAGGAGAGGGAUCCUGCAGGUGACCCCCACCUCAGCAUCAUCUCAGGAUCCAUAUAGAUCUGAGCCCUCUUCCAGCCUCUCAGCUGAACCUCAUCAAGCACCUGCUGUUGUGUUCAGAUCCUUCCUGUUUUCCAGAGCAGGCAGUCUUGUCCAGUCGGUUCACCAGAGGACAGGAGAGAGGUCUGACAAGCUGAGAAACCGAGUCUCUUUCAACCAAACACUCCAGAGUCGGCUUAUGAAUAUUGAUGGUGUCCAGUCCAGAGGCUCCUGGUGGUCCUCAGCAUGAGGAGGAGCCGCCCCCGGCUCUUCCUGGGGACGUGACCUUCACUAUCAAAGCUGCAGGUGCUGAACCAGCAGCACAUC